rnacentral:rRNA from 1 species
AUUGAACGCUGGCGGCAGGCCUAACACAUGCAAGUCGAACGAGUGGCAGACGGGUGAGUAAUGUCUGGGAAACUGCCUGAUGGAGGGGGAUAACUACUGGAAACGGUAGCUAAUACCGCAUACCAUCAGAUGUGCCCAGAUGGGCUUAGCUUGUUGGUGGGGUAACGGCUCACCAAGGCGACGCUCCCUAGCUGGUCUGAGAGGAUGCCCAGCCACCCUGGAGGUGAGACACGGUCCAGACUCCUACGGGAGGCAGCAGUGGGGAAUAUUGCACAAUGGGCGGAAGCCUGAUGCAGCCAUGCAGCAUGUAUGAAGAAGGCCUUCGGGUUGUAAAGUACUGUCAGCGGGGAGGCGUUACCCGCAGAGGAAGCACCGGCUAACUCCGUGCCAGCAGCCGCGGUAAUAC